rnacentral:rRNA from 1 species
AUGCGAGUCGAGAGAUUCCGGAUCUCGGCAGACCGCUCAGUAACACGUGGAGAACCUACCCUAAGGAGAGGGAUACCCUCGGGAAACUGAGGACAAUACCUCAUAGUCGACUCUGACUGGAAUGUCUUGUCGAUGAAAUGUUCCGACGCCUUAGGAUGGCUCUGCGGCCUAUCAGGUAGUAGUCAGGGUCACGACCUGACUAGCCGACGACGGGUACGGGCGUUGAGAGACGUAGCCCGGAGAUGGAUUCUGAGACACGAAUCCAGGCCCUACGGGGCGCAGCAGGCGCGAAACCUUCGCAAUGCGCGAGAGCGCGACGAGGGGACCCCCAGUGCCGGCACUUAGUGUCGGCUGUUCGGAUGCUUAACCACCAUCCGGAGGAAGGGCUGGGUAAGACGGGUGCCAGCCGCCGCGGUAAUACCCGCAGCCCAAGUGGUCACCGAUGUUACUGGGCCUAAAGUGUCCGUAGCCGGCUUGGCAAGUGCCCGGGUAAAUCGGAUCGCUUAACGAUCCGAAUUUCGGGCGAACUGCCAGGCUAGAGACCGGGAGAGGCCGAAGGUACUCCAGGGGUAGGGGUGAAAUCCUGUAAUCCCUGGGGGACCGCCGGUGGCGAAGGCGUUCGGCUGGAACGGGUCUGACGGUGAGGGACGAAGCCCUGGGGAGCAAACCGGAUUAGAU